GACGAACGCUGGCGGCAUGCUUAACACAUGCAAGUCGAACGGGACUUAUUGGAUAGAGGUUUCGGCCAAUUGAAAAUAAGUUUAGUGGCGGACGGGUGAGUAACGCGUGAGCAACCUGCCUUUCAGAGGGGGACAACAGUUGGAAACGACCGCUAAUACCGCAUGACACAACGAGGUCGCAUGGCUUUGUUGUCAAAGAUUUAUCGCUGAAAGAUGGGCUCGCGUCUGAUUAGGUAGUUGGUGAGGUAACGGCCCACCAAGCCGACGAUCAGUAGCCGGACUGAGAGGUUGAACGGCCACAUUUGGACUGAGAUACGGCCCAGACUCCUACGGGAGGCAGCAGUGGGGAAUAUUGGGCAAUGGGCGCAAGCCUGACCCAGCAAUGCCGCGUGAAGGAAGAAGGCUUUCGGGUUGUAAACUUCUUUUAAGGGGGAAGAGACGAAGACGGUACCCCUAGAAUAAGCCACGGCUAACUACGUGCCAGCCGCCGCAGUAAGAC
rnacentral:rRNA from 1 species